UACGUAGGGUGCAAGCGUUGUCCGGAAUUAUUGGGCGUAAAGAGCUCGAAGGCGGUUUGUUGCGUCGGCUGUGAAAUCCCGAGGCUCAACCUCGGGUCUGCAGUCGAUACGAGCAAACUAGAGUGUUGCAGGGGAGACUGGAAUUCCUGGUGUAGCGGUGAAAUGCGCAGAUAUCAGGAGGAACACCGGUGGCGAAGGCGGGUCUCUGGGCAACAACUGACGCUGAGGAGCGAAAGCGUGGGGAGCGAACAGG
rnacentral:rRNA from 1 species